UACGUAGGGGGCAAGCGUUGUCCGGAAUCAUUGGGCGUAAAGAGCGUGUAGGCGGCCCGAUAAGUCCGCCGUGAAAGUCCAGGGCUCAACCCUGGGAUGCCGGUGGAAACUGUCGGGCUAGAGUCCGGAAGGGGCGAGUGGAAUUCCUGGUGUAGCGGUGAAAUGCGCAGAUAUCAGGAGGAACACCAAUGGCGAAGGCAGCUCGCUGGGACGGUACUGACGCUGAGACGCGAAAGCGUGGGGAGCAAACAGG
rnacentral:rRNA from 1 species